rfam:Heterocephalus glaber contig13097, whole genome shotgun sequence.
ACCCAAGGAAAGCUAGGAGGCUGUACAGUUAUCUCCCUUGAUGUAAUUCUAAACUAUACAACCUACUACCUCAACCUGGGAA